rnacentral:sRNA from 1 species
GGUGACCUAGCAAUGCAUGUGGCAAGCCAGCCUGUUCCCCCGUGCAGGAGGAGGACACUCCUACCCUCUAUUCCAGGGAAGAGCACCAUACUGGACAUACCUUUUAUGUGCACUGGGACUUUUUAUUUACCAAUCACUGGAUGCCAUUGAUGGGAAACAAGCCAGAAGAACAAACUCUUGUUCUCCUUUAGGGGAGCUCUUUGACCAUGGUUGUGACUCUCUUUCCACAGUAUUUAUGGCAGUGGGAGCUUCAAUUGCCGCUCGCUUAGGAACUCAUCCUGAUUGGUUUUUUUUCUGCUCUUUUAUUGGGAUGUUUGUGUUUUAUUGCGCUCAUUGGCAGACUUAUGUUUCAGGCGUGUUGAGAUUUGGAAACCCAAGUUUACAAUAGAGAGGAUUAAAAGAAAAUUAAGGGACCUGAAUAAUAUAGAAAAGGGAUAUGCAGUACUUAAAUAAGCAUUUGAUUCGUAUAAUAAAAUAAUGCAGUAUGGAGUCUGAGGUCCUUUUUUGGUCGAAUCUUCGUGUGCCCAGAAAGGGGACCCGCCUUGACAACAGUCACCAGCAUCAGAGUGGAUGUAACUGAAAUUCAGAUAGCUUUAGUGAUUGUCUUUGUAUUAUCUGCAUUUGGAGGAGCAACAAUGUGGGACUAUACGAUUCCUAUUCUAGAAAUAAAAUUGAAGAUCCUUCCAGUUCUUGGAUUUCUAGGUGGAGUAAUAUUUUCCUGUUCAAAUUAUUUCCAUGUUAUCCUCCAUGGUGG